rnacentral:rRNA from 1 species
UGUGGGUAGGGGUGAAAGGCCAAUCAAACUCCGUGAUAGCUGGUUCUCCCCGAAAUGCAUUUAGGUGCAGCGUGAUGUGUGCUUACCGGAGGUAGAGCUACUGGAUGGCCGAGCGGGACUAUCAUCUUAGUGACGUCAGCCAAACUCCGAAUGCCGGUGAAGUUUGAGCAUUGCAGUGAGACUGUGGGGGAUAAGCUUCAUAGUCGAGAGGGAAACAGCCCAGAUCGCCGGUUAAGGCCCCUAAGGGUGUGCUAAGUGGAAAAGGAUGUGGGAUCGCGAAGACAGCCAGGAGGUUGGCUUAGAAGCAGCCAUCCUUGAAAGAGUGCGUAAUAGCUCACUGGUCGAGUGGUUCUGCGCCGACAAUGUAGUGGGGCUCAAGCACACCGCCGAAGCCGCGGCAUAGUUUUUACUAUGGGUAGGGGAGCGUCGUGUGUGGGGUGAAGCCGUAUCGGAAGAAGCGGUGGACUGCACGCGAGUGAGAAUGCAGGCAUGAGUAACGAAUGAUACGUGAGAAUCGUAUCCGCCGAAUGACUAAGGGUUCCUGGGUCAAGUUCGUCUUCCCAGGGUGAGUCGGGUCCUAAGGCGAGGCCGACAGGCGUAGUCGAUGGUCAACGGGUUGAUAUUCCCGUACCCGUAUAUACGCGCCCAGUAUCGAAGCGGUGAUACUAACCACCCAGAUCCGCCGACAUGCACAUCUUUGAUGUGUGGUUGGUGGUGAUGCGUGGGGCCUGAUCCGUUGUAGGUCAGUGAUGGGGUGACGCAGCAAGGUAGCCAAGCCGCUUAUUGGAUUGCGGUGCAAGCGUGUGGCACGACAGCAUGUCAAAUGCGGCUGUCAAUAGUGUGAGGCGUGAUGCGUAGCCCGUAUUGGGUGAUGUUGGUGAUCCUCUACUGCCGAGAAAAGCCUCUAGCGAUGUGUGUAUACGGCCCGUACCCGAAACCGACACAGGUAGUCAAGUAGAGAAUACUCAGGCGGUCGGGAGAACUGUGGUUAAGGAACUCGGCAAAUUACCCCCGUAACUUCGGGAGAAGGGGGACCCAAACUGGUGCCCGAUCUAUGCGAUCGUGGUUGCUGGCGUGGGUCGCAGAGAAUAGAGGGGAGCGACUGUUUAUCAAAAACACAGGUCCGUGCGAAGACGAUGAAGUUGAUGUAUACGGACUGACGCCUGCCCGGUGCUGGAAGGUUAAGAGGACCUGUUAGGACAUUUAGUCCGAAGCGGAGAAUUUAAGCCCCAGUAAACGGCGGUGGUAACUAUAACCAUCCUAAGGUAGCGAAAUUCCUUGUCGGGUAAGUUCCGACCUGCACGAAUGGCGUAACGACUCCCCUGCUGUCUCAACCACAGACCCGGUGAAAUUGCACUACGAGUAAAGAUGCUCGUUACGCGCGGCAGGACGAAAAGACCCCGGGACCUUCACUAUAGCUUGGUAUUGGCAUUCGGUGCGGUUUGUGUAGGAUAGGUGGGAGACGUUGAAGCGGCCACGCCAGUGGUUGUGGAGUCGUUGUUGAAAUACCACUCUGACCGUAGUGGAUAUCUAACCUUGGCCCAUGAUCUGGGUUGGGGACAGUGCCUGGUGGGUAGUUUAACUGGGGCGGUUGCCUCCCAAAAUGCAACGGAGGCGCCCAAAGGUUCCCUCAGCCUGGUUGGCAAUCAGGUGUUUAGAGUGUAAGUGCACAAGGGAGCUUGACUGCGAGACUUACAAGUCGAGCAGGGACGAAAGUCGGGACUAGUGAUCCGGCACCUACUUGUGGAUGUGGUGUCGCUCAACGGAUAAAAGGUACCCCGGGGAUAACAGGCUGAUCUUCCCCAAGAGUCCAUAUCGACGGGAUGGUUUGGCACCUCGAUGUCGGCUCGUCGCAUCCUGGGGCUGGAGUAGGUCCCAAGGGUUGGGCUGUUCGCCCAUUAAAGCGGCACGCGAGCUGGGUUCAGAACGUCGUGAGACAGUUCGGUCUCUAUCCGCCGCGCGCGUUGAAACUUGAAGAAGGCUGUCCCUAGUACGAGAGGACCGGGACGGACGUACCUCUGGUGUGCCAGUUGUUCCGCCAGGAGCACAGCUGGUUGGCUACGUACGGAAGGGAUAACCGCUGAAAGCAUCUAAGCGGGAAGCCUGUUUUAAGAUGAGGUUUCAUUUGAGGUUCCCAGAAGACGACUGGGUUGAUAGGCCGGAACUGGAAGCACAGCAAUGUGUGGAGGCGACCGGUACUAAUACACCAAACAAACCAACA